rnacentral:lncRNA from 1 species
GCUCAGCAGACGACGUAGUUCUUGUGCUCUUCCCGCCUCGCCUUUCUUUUCUUGGUUUCAAUCCUUGGUGUUGCAAGCCAAUUCCCGGGUCUUGUUAGGCGGGAAACACAGACUGCAUUACCCAUGUUUGAAACUGGAUUUGCGCGUUUGGGAAGCAAGAAUGGGGUUACUCUGCUGGAAAAGCUUGACAUUGCAAAUGAGGGAUUUUUACCCUACGGUUCCACAAGUUCCCACUAAGUAUCUGGUACGCGGAAGAGAGGGACAAGGAAGCACAGAGGCUCAGAACAGUUCGUUGUUCACCUCGUCUUUCUACCACAUAAUUCUGCCUCUAGAAAUACAGGAGAAAGAGUAGCCACGCAAAGCUUCUAGGAACUCCUGGGAGAAGCAUUCAUAAACUCUUAUUGCUGCCAGUUCAUCUUGGGGCCUUUCGGUGUGAAGAAAUGGAUCCUUAUCAAAUACUUUUGUGAAAGAACAUUUACAUCCUGCUUUAUUCCAGAAGAAAAGAUUUAAGUCACUUUGGUUACACAGGGAAAACCUGGAAGAGGGGAGAUACAGAAGAACCCAUACCCGCAUGGCCUGAAGACAGGCUAAAAGACUGAUGGGAGCUUGCGACCCUACAGAGUUGGAACCGCUCUGCGCUCACAGGCCUGGGAGCUUAGUGCCCAGUGGCCAGGGACCCCCCCUAGGAUUCCUUUGUGGAUCAAAGGCAAAGAAAGAAGGGCUUCUGAAGGCCUGGCACAGCUACAAGGAUUCUCCUGACAGUAUGGCACAUCUGUCUAGCACGUCAUGUUUCGGGGAAGCCUUUCCCAACGGUGUCAUGAGGCUGGCAGGGUGGGCAUUCUGUCCAUCAGCGAGGAGCAGAUGGAGAGCCAAAGAGGAUGAGUGAAUUGCCGACGCGCACGCCUGGUUCAGGAUCAGCAUCCAGGUCUCCUCAUUAAGUCCAGUGAGCUUUCAGCUCUGUCAUGCUGCCUCUUCUUCCCCAGAGGGCUUGGGAAACAUAAGCAACUGCCUACAGGAAAUAUGCUUCACCUUCCUCACAGACACGGCGUUCCAGAACCAGACUCCAUGGAAACAGAACACAGAGGGUGUGUACAUUCAUGUCUUCUAGACCCACUCCAGUUCUCAUCAGAAGCUGAUGAGCCACCCCACAGUUCACGGCGGGUCAGACCUAAUCCGUAUCCUCUUCAAAAUAGGCCAGAAAAAUGGAAUCACUGGAUAUCAGAAGAGAAAGGGAACCACAGAGUCUUGCUAGUCUAAUGCCUUUAUUUUAAGGAUGAAGAAAUAGCCUUUUGUUUUGUUUUUCAGAUUUAUUGAGAUAUAAUGUACAAAGUGGUAAGAUACUUAAAGUUACAACAUGAUUUUGAAACAACCUUGCCUUGUGAAAGGACUCCCCCAUCAUGUUAAUUACCCUGAUAAUCACUUCACAUAUUUACCUUUGUGUGUGUAUGUUUGAGAAUAUUUAAGUUCUACUCUCUCAGCAAAUUUCAAUUAUACAAAUACAGUGUUAUCAACUAUAGUCACCAUGUUAUACAGUAGAUCCUCAGACUUCAUUCAUCUUGUAACUAAAAGUUUACACAAUUUUGCUGACUUCUCCUAUUUCUCCUACCUCCAGUCCCUUCAACCAUUUUCUACACUCUGUUUCUUAGAGUUUUUUAAAGAUUUUACAUAUAAGUGAUACUAUGCAG